rnacentral:misc_RNA from 1 species
GCAAACUUGGUCAUUUAGAGGAAGUAAAAGUCGUAACAAGGUUUCCGUAGGUGAACCUGCGGAAGGAUCAUUAUCGAAUAUGCUUGAUGGGUUGUCGCUGGCCUCUCGAGGCAUGUGCACGCCUGUCUUGACUCUAUUCAUCCACCUGUGCACCCAUUGUAGUCUUGAAAACUUUUCUGAGGGUCGUCGAUGAAGCGGCUUGCUCGGUCGAAAGGCCGGAUUUGAGGAUUGCUGGUUGAAAGACAAAGCUCUCUUCUGUUUGAAAGUCGCAAAGUCUAUGACCUUUGGAGGGCUUUGAGACUAUGUCUUAUAUCACAAACCAUGUAGUAUGUUGCCAGAAUGUAUUCAAUGGGCCUUUGUGCCUAUAAAACCUUAUACAACUUUCAGCAACGGAUCUCUUGGCUCUCGCAUCGAUGAAGAACGCAGC